rnacentral:rRNA from 1 species
CGGGACGGGUGAGUAACGCGUGAGCAACCUGCCUUGAAGUGGGGGACAACAGUUGGAAACGACUGCUAAUACCGCAUAAUAUAUUUAGAUCGCAUGGUUUAGAUAUCAAAGAUUUAUCGCUUCAAGAUGGGCUCGCGUCUGAUUAGGUAGUUGGCGGGGUAACGGCCCACCAAGCCGACGAUCAGUAGCCGGACUGAGAGGUUGAACGGCCACAUUGGGACUGAGAUACGGCCCAGACUCCUACGGAAGGCAGCAG